rnacentral:lncRNA from 1 species
CCCCCCUCUGGUCCGAAUUGGACAAGGGGCGCAGCCCCCUUGUCCUUCUUCCUCUCCCCCUCUUUCCCCUUCUCCUACUCCAACAAGGAAGGAAGGAGUCCUACUCCCGGUGGGAGUAGGACUCCCCUUGGCGCGCCCCCUCCUAGGCCGGCCGCCCCCUCCCCCUUGCUCCUUUAUAUACGGGGGCAGGGGGGCACCUCUAGACACACAAGUUGAUCUUCGUGAUCGUUCCUUAGCCAUGUGCGGUGCCCCCCUCCAUCAUAUUCCACCUCGGUCAUAUUGUAGCGGUUCUUAGGCGAAGCCCUGCGACGGUAGAAUAUCAAGAUCGUCACCAUGCCGUCGUGCUGACGGAACUCCUCCCCGACGCUUUGCUGGAUCGGAGCCCGGGGAUCGUCAUCGAGCUGAACAUGUGCCAAGAACUCGGAGGUGCCGGAGUAACGGUGCUUGGAUCGGUAGAACCGUGAAGACGUACGACUACAUCAACCACGUUGUGCUAACGCUUCCGUUGUCGAUCUACAAGGGUACAUAGAUCACACUCUCCCCUCUUGUUGCUAUGCAUCACCAUGAUCUUGCGUGUGCGUAGAAUUUUUUUGAAAUUACUACGUUCCCCAACAUGAGCCAACAUGGGUAUCCAGAUCCCGCUGUUGGUUAUUGACCGGAGAGUUCUCUCGGCCAUGUCUGCAUGAAUCCCGAGCCCGUAGGGUCUACACACUUAAGGUUCGAUGACGCUAGGGUUAUAGGGAAAGUAUGUACGCAGUUACCGAAUGUUGUUCGGAGUCCCGAAUGAGAUCCCGGAUGUCACGAGGAGUUUCGAAAUGGUCCGGAGGUAAAGAUUUAUAUAUGGGAAGUCCCGGUUUGGUCACAGAAAAGUUUCGGGUGCUAUCUGUAACGUACCGGGACCACCGGGAGGGUCCCGAGGUCCACCAGGUGGGGCCACCAGCCCCAGAAGGCUACGUGGGCCAAGUGUGGGAGGGGACCAGCCCCAGGUGGGCUGGUGCGCCCCCCACCAAGGCCCAAGGCGCGUGGAGAGUGAGAAGGGGGCAAACCCUAGGUCCAGAUGGGCCUUAAGGCCCACCCUAGGGCGCCCCCUCUCUUCCCCCCCCCCUUGGCCGCACCCUAGAUGGGUUUUGGGGGCUGCCGCCACCCAUAGGGAUGGAACCCUAGAUGGGGGCGCAGCUCCUCCCCUCUCCCUAUAUAUACUUGAGGUAUUGGGGGCUGCCCAACACAUGAUUUGAUCUUCCUCUUGGCGCAGCCCUACCUCUCUCCCUCCUCGUCUCUUGUAGUGCUUGCUGAAGCCCUGCUGGAGUCCCGCGCUCCUCCACCAUCACCACGCCGUCGUGCUGCUGCUGGACGGAGUCUUCCCCAACCUCUCCCUCUCCCUUGCUGGAUCAAGACACGGGAGACGUCACCGGGUUGUACGUGUGUUGAACGCGGAGGCGCCGUUGUUCGGUGCUUAGAUCAGAAUCGACCGUGAUCUGAAUCGCUGCGUGUACGACUCCACCAACCGUGUUCUUGCAACGCUUUCGCUUAGCGAUCUACAAGGGUAUGUAGGUGCACUCCCCUUCCUCUCGUUGCUAGAUUACUCCAUAGAUUGAUCUUAGUGAUGCGUAGAAAAUUUUAAAUUUCUACUACGAUCCCCAACAGACGUGGCGGAGGCGGGUGAUGUGGAUCAAUGGGUGGGCCGGCGCGCGAGCGACGGCUAUGAUUGGCCGCCGCAUGGCGCGAGGCCGCCAGGUCGGGGCAAUGCAGGUUUCCCGGUCGGAGCAGGGCGGUGACGGCCGAUGCUGGGCAACGGGCGGACGGCGACUGGCCCUGAUGGGCCGCCGCGGCGCGCGUGGCCGCCGGGUCGGAGGAGAGGCCGGCUGGUCGCUCCGGGGUUGGAGUAGAGGCGCAUGGGGGUCGACGGCGGCAGCGGGCGACGCAAACCGAUCAUGAUUUCAUCGAAAAACCAAAAAGGAAAACGCCGAUCAAAACGACCAAUGAGAGAGCGAAAAAACACGGAGCAAAGGCUCGGAAAAAAGACUCUCUAGGGCAACCGGCCAACACGGCCGGGACGAACCCUAGAUACAGGUGGCGCGGCCCCCGGCGGCGAUCAUGGUGGCCGACCGCCCGGGAGGCGGCGCGCAGGUGCGCAAGCGGCGGCGCCUAGGGUUUGAAUUAUGAUUAGGCUGAUACCAUGUUAGAAGGAAGGGAUAGGAUUGAUGAAAUUGUUCGUUGUAUUGCUUCAGCCUCAUGGAUAUAUAUAUAGGAAUACAUGAUCUAUUUGGAGUACAAGACAAGCCAGAAUACUUUCUACUUUAUCCUAUAUUUUCUAAUACAAUCACAUUACUCAACAAAUACCUAAGUCUAUCUUAAAAGUUCUCAUCACAAGUCCUGUUGGUUGUAUUGUAGAGAUAAUGACACACUUGAUACUUCCUUAAUUUGUGUUGUAUGGUCUCUAGUCUCUACACAUGUUCAUUAUCCUGUCCUGCCGUAUUUCAUCUUCUGAAAGUUUCCUGGUUACAAUUUCUGAAUUAUUCUUGCACAACUUCCUAGUAUGCUUCGAAUGGAUAUUGAUCCCACCAUGUGACUGCCCUAUAACUGGUUUUAUUCAGUACACGCUACGUGAUACGUAAUUUUGGCACCAUGACCAACAUAUACUAAGAAGACUAGGCCCGUAAGGGUUCGAUUUUUCUGGGUUUUUUGGAAAUUUUUUUACCCCUGCUGAUUGAGCGACACGUGUGCAUGGUGGCUUUCGUGAAAUGGUUGAUUGCUCUCUUGGUUGCUCACUUGGACUGUGCAUGUUUCUUCUAAAGGUGCAUGGGCUUAUAUUGUCUCAUGUGGAAAGGUGGUAUGACUGCAUGAGCUGAUUUUGUCUCAUGUGAGAAAAAAAUAUUAGCUGCAUGGGAUGUUGUAUGGGCUGGUAUACGUGUGCUGCUGCAUGGCUCAUGCAUGCAUGCAUGUGUCCAUCUUUGCAUGUUUGGAGUUCCACGUUUGCACAUCGUUUGUGUUCUGGGUCCUUCUUUGCUUGCCUAUAAGUAGCUCCUUGCUGUGUUCUUCUCUUAUGUGUCAAACCACUCCUCACCUAUAGGCCCAUCUCUCCUCCUGAUGCUGCCCUCCAGCCUCCACCCAAGAUCCCAUGGUGCGCCUGGUUGCCGCUCCGUCUGGCCGGCCGGGAGGUGCGUGCAAGCUACACCAUGAAUCAGGAGAGCCGCAUGACAUCAUCUUCUCAUAGAUCUUCCUCGGCUCCGGCUCUGUCCCUGGCCUCCAAGGCGGAUACAUGGCGGUGGCCUUCCCAUGGUCCAAGGUGGCACGCCUGCAGUUGGCGCUGGAUAGCUCGCUGCCCUGCCGCUCUCCAUCCUAAUCGACUCCCCUCAGUCUUCCCCAACUUCGGCCCCGGCAAUAGGUCCCCUUCAUCUCCCUUUCCUCUCCUCUGGUGUGCGUGGUUUCCUUGUACGAGUAGACGAGUUAUUAGUACUAGAAUUUCAUCAGAUCUAAAGUUGGGUGCAUAUGCUACAAAUUCUUAAUCUAAGAAGAAUGUUCAGGCAUUGCGUGCAUGUCUGUGCUGAGGACACAAAUUUGGGGGUCCAGCUCCUUGUGUGAAUGUGCAAGGAAUUCGGAACCUGCAUCUUUAAUAUGACAUGGUAUAUUUAUUCUUAAUCUCUCCAUUACGUUUUGUGUUUCAUUUUCUCGAUGGAAGUAAUUGUGGUUUAAUUUCACAUGGUUUUUAAACAAAUAAACACAUGAUGUGCUGAAUAGCUGACAUGCAGAGGAAAUGGUACAGCUUGAUGACUAUUUUACUACUAAAUUAUUCUCAGGUAUUUAUUGUUCCUUUUGUGAUAGUUUUCUCUCUCCUAAAAAUAAAAUGAAUCAUUUUUAAUUCUUUGAACAAGUUUGCCUAAAGUAGGGCGCUCAGCCAUUGAGGCAUUAUCAAUUUCUUUUAGAAGCUUAGCAAAAUCUGCUCUUGUACUAAAGAAAUCUAAUGUAGAUUUGUUAGCCUUAUAGGGUACUAUAUGCUGAACACAUGAUAUUAAAUAUACAAUAAAUUGCACUGUGAAGUGAGUAUGUAUAUACUAUCCACACAGGAUUGCCAUUUUGGAGAUGUUGUGUCACAUCCCUAGCUGCUGGUAGUGCUCUAGGCUAGCUCAUGUGUGCAUCAUGUUUAAAUUUUUGAAACUUGAACUGAGGAAUUUUGGAAGCCUCAAAAACUUAAAUAAAAGAGGGGCAAAAACCCUAGAAAUCUCAUUCAUUGCUCCAAAAUGCUCUUCGUAAAUGUUUAAUAAUUUUUGGUAAGGGUUCUGGUCCCAACCAAAAUAUUGAACAUUUUUAAGGAAUUAUUUUUGGGACUUUGGAUUUAAUUCAUUAGCUAUUUGAAUUUGAAUUAUAUUCAUAUAAUUAGAAUAUAAUUUCAAAUACCCCUGAUAUAUUUUAUAAGCUUUUGGAAAAGUCCAUUUAGCAAUAUAAAAUAUUCAGAGGAGUUUUUAGCUUUGUUUGAAUUUUUUUAAAUUCAAAACAGUGGCAAAAUAAAUUAAAUAAACAAAACAGAAGAAAAAAAUAAAAAGAACAGAAGCCUACCUGGGCCACUUACCUGUAGCCGGCCCAGCUGGCCAGCUCCUCCCGCUGGCCCAGCCCACCGCCGCCUCCCUCCCCUGUCGCCUUCCUCCUCUGCCAGGAGGACGGGCACGCGCCCGGCGCGCGCGGCCACGCGCCCCGGCCACCUCCUCCCUGCCUGGCUGCCUCCUCCUCCCCUGGUCCCUCCCGCGACGCCACGCAGUCCCCGACCCCCUCUCCCUUCUCCCUCUCUCCCGCGUCCUCAUCCUCUCCCCGGAACCCUCUCCCCCCCCUCCUCUGUUCUCCUCACCGAGCGGAGCCCGUCGCCGCCGCUCGCCAUAACCACGGCCACCGGGCCUCCCUCGCUCCCCCGACUAGCCCAGAGGCUCCGCCUCGACCCCCUCUUCCCUCUCCACCGACCCACGGCCCUCCGGAAGCCCUGCAACGCCGCCACCAUCGCCGUUCCGUCGCCGGCCACCGAAGCUCACCGUUGGCGAUUCGCCGCCUCCGACGCCUCCCCGAGCUCCCCGAGGCCACCGUCGCAACCCCUGUGAGCUCCGCCACCGUUUCCCCCUCUUUCCCUCUUCGUUUGGUUGCCGUAGCCGUCGCCCCCUUGAUGACCGAAACCCGCCGCCGUCUGUGAUCGCCGCCGACGUGCCUCCGGCCACCUAGUGGCCCGGCUGUCGUGCUCAGCUUCCUCCCCGCGCUGCCUGGAACACGUAGGUGCCCCGCACGAGCCUCCCCGGCCACCGUAGCGUCAACCCCGAGCUCGCCCGAGCUCCGGCGACCGCCACGCUCGACGCCGGUGACGACUCCGGCCAUCUUAGGCCCAGCCGCUGCCACUACUCGACGCGGACGAGCGCCCGCGUCACGUAGACGCUCUCCGCCGGCCAUUUGGUCAUCGGAGGAGGAAACCCGCACCCCUCCGCCGUUUCUGGCUCCGCCGGCGACGAGUCGCGGGUCAACUCCGGCGAGUUGACCCAGGUUUGACGUUCCCCGUGUGUCACUGACGUGUGGGCCACCCCCCUGACAUUUUAGUUAGUAUUAGUUUAACACUAAUUAACCUAGGUUAGUUAGCUGAUUAGUCGCUGACCAGUGGGCCCCGGCCCCACAAACAGUUUAGUUAGAAUUAACUUAAGGCUAAUUAACUUGGUUAAUUAGUUGUGUCACUGACCAGUGGACCCCACUGGUCAGGUUUGACCUGAAUCUGCCCCGUUGACCUGAUGACGUCAAGGUGAUGUCAUGCUGACGCAUUAAAUGAUUUUCUGGAUUUAAAAUAAAUCAGAAAAUCCAGAAAAUUGUAUAAACUUCUAAAAUUCAUAGAAAAUUAACCGUAACUCCAAAUUAAAUAAAUUAUAUAUGAAAAAUUAUCAGAAAAAUUCAAGGAAUCCAUCUGUACCAUUUUCAUGCAUGUUAGAACAACUUAUAGAUGCUGUUUAGCACAAAUCAAUUAAAUGGCAUUUAAAUAAUCACAUAUGGAGUUUGAAUUUGAAUCUUGUAUUCAAACCAACCCCAUUUAACUUGUUGCUAGAUGCAUUAGCCCAAAACACAUUCAUUUUGCCAUGUCAUGAUCAUGCAUCAUAUUGUGCAUUGGAUUGAUUGUGUUCCCUUCUGUGUUGCCGGUAUUUGUCCCCUCUCGAUAGACGUGAUACCGAUGAUGUGAUCGUUGACACUGAUGAAGACUCAAUGCUAUCUUCAGAAGUGCCAGGCAAGCAAAACCCCCUUGUUCAUUCCGAUAUAAUCCUACUCUCUCGCUCCUGCUCUCUUUUACUGCAUUAGGACAACACCGAUUCAUCUGUUACUUGCUGCGGUAGCUGAACCCCUUUAUCCUUUGCAUGACCUGUCAUUGCCACAGUAAAUAGACGAAACCCACUAGCAUGAGUAGGAGUUGUUUGAGCCCUGAUGUGCCUACUCAUUCAUGCUUGUUUGUCAUGCCUGCUACUGCUUAGAGUUGAGUCAGGUCUGAUUCAUCGGGGAUGAAUCAGAGGCGUGUGAACAUGUCCUACUGUGUGUGAGCUAGGUGUGUGAACACGAUUUGGUAAAGGUAGCGGUGAGAGGCCAUGUAGGAGUACAUGGUGGGUUGUCUCAUUGAAGCCGUCCUCAGGAACUGAGUUCUGUGUUUGUGAUCCAUGAUUCAGCUACUACCAUACAUUGGGCCCUGAAAUAUGACCCCGCUCGACUUCUUAUUCACCCUAGUCCUCUGUCCAGGAGUUGCAAGUAGUUUCUGGUGUUUGUAGCUUACUGGAGGCCGUGGACAGCGCUGACCGUAGGGGUGGGCUGUGAUGCGGUAGGUACGUGGCACGGUGUACCGGAUGCCCGUUUGGUAUCUCGGGAACCCUGUUCACAUCGUUUGGGGCUGUGAGCGAAACUCCGGCCGGAUCUCCUCAUGGAUGGAACCCGAAUAGGCGAUAAACCUGGACUAGAGACUUGAGUGUUUAGGUAGGUCGUGGUCUACACCCACGUCGGCUUUCGCUUGAAGUCUGCCGAGCACAUGUCGUGUGCAGACGCUAAGUGGUGGAAACAUGUAUGAAGAAGUACACCCCUGCAGGGUUAACAUCAUCUAUUCGAAUAGCCGUGUCCGCGGUAAAGGACUUCUGGGUUGCUUACAUCAGUUCAUAGACAAGUGAAAGUGGAUACUUUAAAAUGCGCAAGAUAAGCGUGAGUGCUAUGGAUGGCGUUCUCGUAGGGAGACGGGAGCGGAUCCAUAGUGGUGUAUUGAUAUGGUGAAUAUGUGGACUCGUGUGCGCCACCUCAAAAGAGUUACAUUGCAGUCGUAGUUUAGGAUAGCCACCGAGUCAAAGCUGGCUUGCUGCAGUUAAACCCCACCAUCCCCUUUGUUGAUAAUGAUGCAUAUGUAGUUAGUUCUGAUGUAAGUCUUGCUGGGUACAUUUGUACUCACAUUUGCCUAUUUUAUGUUUUUGCAGAGAGACUUCAGUCUCACUAUUAGUUCCGCUUGGACUUCGACGUUUAGCUUGUUACCUCAGCUACGAUCUUGUGCCCUCGGCAGGAUCUGGUAGAUAGUCAGGCUUCUCAGCCUUUUUCAUUUAUAGAUGUCUGUACUCAGACAUGAUAGCUUCCGCUUGUGCUUUGACUUGUAUGCUCUGAUUGUUGGGUCAUGAGACCCAUGUUUGUAAUGUCUCGCUCCUCGGAGCCUAUUGAAUAGACUACUUGAGUCGUAGAGUCAUUUUGUGAUGCCAUGUUGUAUUGCACAUAUCGAGCAUAUUGUGUGUAUGUUAUUGAAAUGCUUGGUAUGUGUGGGAUCUGACUAUCUAGUUGUUUAUCUUUAGUAGCCUCUCUUACCGGGAAAUGCCUCCUAGUGUUUCCACCGAGCCAUGGUAGCUUGCUACUGCUCCGGAACACUUAGGCUGGCCGGCAUGUGUCCUUCUUCGUUCCUGUGUCUGUCCCUUCGGGGAAAUGUCACGCGAUGAAUACCGGAGUCCUAUUAGCCCGCUACAGCCCGGUUCACCGGAGUCCUGCUAGCCCAGUGCUACAGUCUGGAUUCACUCGCUGAUGACCGACACGUUCGAUGCUGGGUCAUGGAUGCCUGUCCCUGUAAGUUUGUGCCACUUUGGGUUUACGACUAGCCAUGUCAGCCCGGGCUCCUUAUCAUAUGGAUGCUAGCGACACUGUCAUAUAUGUGUGCCAAAAGGCGCAAACGGUUCCGGGUAAAGGUAAGGCGACACCCGUGGGAAUACCGUGCGUGAGGCCGCAAAGUGAUAUGAAGUGUUACAUGCUAGAUCUAUGUGGCAUUGAGUCGGGGUCCUGACAUGUUGCUGGGAUCAUCAUGGAUUGGGAUGCAUUUUGAUAAUAAGAUAUUAGGUAUUGAUAUGUGAUAUGUAUGUCACACUUGACUUCAUCAUCCUUUGUUUUUAGAUGUAUUCUUUAGGCAUACAUUAAUGUGGUAGCUUGGUCAUAUUAUUUAGCUAAUUUAGUCACUAAAUACUCGGAUUUUUUCCCGACUCCCAUUAUAAAGAACUUCCACUUGCCAUCUCUAUAUGAAUUUUCUUUUUGCUACCGAUUUUGGCUAAAGGUUUUUUGGCUCUCAUCUCUAUAUGGAUAUGUUUUUUUAAGGUUAGUAGUUUAGAAGUUCCUGCCAACACUGGUUUUUCGAAGUUAUACUCCCUUCACCAGUUGGGCUUAACAAGGACAUAAUUAAUUCUCUGUUGGUAAUUAGAAGGAAAAAAAUCUGGUUGGAGAAAACUUCUCUUUUGCUUAAUUGUUUACUUCAUAAUUUUAGUAAAAAAAAUCAUUUUUUUCAGGUUAGUAGUAUGGGAGUACCUGUCAAGACUGACUUUUGGAAGUUAUGCUAGCCUCAUCAGUUGGGCUUUCUAUACAAAACUAGACUCAAUAUAAUUUAUUUUGGUGCUUGCGAUGAGUAUUAGACAGAGGGGUGAUGACCACAUAGUUCACCCAGUGUAUCUGUUCAUGUAUGUCAUUAAUUAUCUAAUUAGACAAAAAAAACUCUCUCUGUAUGGUGUUUGUGAUGAUGCUGUCAAUUUACUAAACACUAAAAUACCAGGUUGUUAUUUUCAAAUCUAGCAAAUUAAUUUUCUCUAUUGCUUCUUUUCCAGGCAGAAGUUUUAGUCUAUUAUGUUCCAUGAGUCUUACUGUCAAAA